rnacentral:rRNA from 1 species
GAGCGGCGAACGGGUGAGUAACACGUAGGUGAUCUGCCCAUCAGACGGGGACAACGAUUGGGAACGAUCGCUAAUACCGGAUAGGACGAAAGUUUAAAGGUGCUUCUGGCACCGCUGAUGGAUGAGCCUGCGGCGCAUUAGCUAGUUGGUAGGGUAAAGGCCUACCAAGGCGACGAUGCGUAGCCGACCUGAGAGGGUGAACGGCCACACUGGGACUGAGACACGGCCCAGACUCCUACGGGAGGCAGCAUG